rnacentral:rRNA from 1 species
UUUAGAUCCUGGCUCAGGAUGAACGCUAGCGGGAGGCCUAACACAUGCAAGCCGAGCGGUAUAGAGUAGCUUGCUACUCUAGAGAGCGGCGCACGGGUGCGUAACACGUGUGCAACCUACCUUUAUCUGGGGAAUAGCCUUUCGAAAGGAAGAUUAAUACCCCAUAAUAUAUUGAAUGGCAUCAUUUGAUAUUGAAAACUCCGGUGGAUAGAGAUGGGCACGCGCAAGAUUAGAUAGUUGGUGAGGUAACGGCUCACCAAGUCAAUGAUCUUUAGGGGUCCUGAGAGGGAGAUCCCCCACACUGGUACUGAGACACGGACCAGACUCCUACGGGAGGCAGCAGUGAGGAAUAUUGGACAAUGGGUGAAAGCCUGAUCCAGCCAUCCCGCGUGAAGGAUGACGGUCCUAUGGAUUGUAAACUUCUUUUGUAUAGGAAUAAACCUUUCUACGUGUAGAAAGCUGAAGGUACUAUACGAAUAAGCACCGGCUAACUCCGUG